UUAACCCUGUCCAAGUGGUAUACACACUGUUUUUUCUCAAUAUCAAACUCAGCCAGUCCAGGUUGUCAAAUAACAAUCUAUCUGAUAAGCCAAGCAUGUGUUAUACAUCAGAUGUUGGGUAUGUUUACUGCAAAUCUAUUGGUUAUAAGAUAUAACAGCCUUUUCUAAUUGGCUGAAUUCAAAUACAGAAAGUUUACCUGUUAGAUUGAAACAUGAAACAUGGUGGACAAUGUACUGGUUUAACUUGUUAAAAUAAAGUUAAAGACAUUUAACAAACAGAAGAGUUCAUUAGUUUUUCCAUUAAAAACACUUUCUUAAAAUACUUAUGUAUUUAUAUCAUUUGGAAAGUGACACGAAAUAUUGCUAAAGAGUGAUGCAUACAGUGUUUGAGCAGUCUGUCUAGGAAUAGAACAACAACUGAAGUUGAUGGAAGAUACUGCAGAGUUUGGCAGGGAAAUAAUCCAACAGCAAAGCGGCUCUUUAAGCGCAUUUACCUAGAGGACUUACAGGGCCACAAAUUCAUGAGCACAUGUGAGCAGUAUACAAUGUACCUCAUACCAAAACGGACCCGGAGGCAGUGACUGGUGUUCAAUAUUCUCAGAAGAAAAGGAAAAUGGCAGUGGAAGACUUGGACAAACAUUUUUAAAAACUAGCCUCUGUGUUAAGCCUGGCAGUCUGUGGCUGGUGACAUGUUUUAUUUUGGUUACUUCUUGUAUAAAAAAGACCAGUUAUUUAUUUUGUAAAUUGUAUUUUGUGUUUGUUUUUUGUCUUAAUAUAUUUGUUGUUGUUUUUUAAUUUAGGAAAUUGAAACUUGGAUAAUUGAAUUAAGUCCAUGUUCAACAGUACUGAGCAUAGUAUAAUAAAUAACAAAUUUACAACAGUUGUUAAUUUGUUAUGUAUUAUUAUUAACUAUGCUCAGUACUUGAAUACUGGCUGUCUGCAUGGGAAUUUGUUUUCUAGAAAGUUGGUUUCAGACUUAAAUAUUAGAAGUUAACCUUCGGAACUUUUCUAGAAUUGUACUGGAACACAUCAACUGGAACUGAACUUCUGUUAUCAUACUGAAAGUGUUCUAGAAUUAAUAAGGAACAGUUGUUGAACUUUAAAAUUUAUGAGAAAAAACUCUAGAACAAUUGUGCGUGAUGUGUGUGUGCAUGUAAUUGUGUGUGUUUAUGAACAUAUGUGAGA